rnacentral:lncRNA from 1 species
AAAGAACAAAAUUUUAUUUUGUAUAUGUGCCCAAAUUAAUGGGUUUACCAUUUCCCUUUGAAGAGAAUAAACAUCUUAGGUGUUGAAACUGGUACAAUUUUUUUUCUAGAUUCAGUGACACAUUAUUAGAAAGGGAAAGCUACUACAUGUAUUUAAACAAUAUUAUCAAGUAGUAUACUGGAACUAGACUGAAUGAAAAGACAAUUUAUCUUGUUGUGACAAAAAAUUACCUAUGUCCAUAAAAAAUCUUUUGCAAGAAAGCUUAAACGUACACAUUUCUUUUUUUGCCAUAUUAACAUUUGAGUAUCUAUUAUGUUUAUAUGGACUACAUCAACUCAUCUAUUCUUAUUAGAUCAAGUCAUAAAAACUACAACUUUUUAUGAUGAUCUAUUACCACACUUUAUUUUCAAUGGUUUUUUUUAACACAGUAUAAGAUCAUGACAGUAUUAUU